UUAUAAGAGACAGCAGUAGCCGCGGUAAUACCGAGGGUGCGAGCGUUAAUCGGAUUUACUGGGCGUAAAGCGUGCGUAGGCGGCUUCUUAAGUCGGAUGUGAAAUCCCUGAGCUUAACUUAGGAAUUGCAUUCGAUACUGGGAAGCUAGAGUAUGGGAGAGGAUGGUAGAAUUCCAGGUGUAGCGGUGAAAUGCGUAGAGAUCUGGAGGAAUACCGAUGGCGAAGGCAGCCAUCUGGCCUAAUACUGACGCUGAGGUACGAAAGCAUGGGGAGCAAACAGGAUUAGAUACCCGCGUAGUCCCUGUCUCUUAUAA
rnacentral:rRNA from 1 species